rnacentral:ncRNA from 2 species
CGUAAAGGCUAGGGGUGCUUCCUUGUUUCCAUGUGCUUCGUGGGAUAGGGCGGCUGAGAAAAACCCUUUGAACCUGACCCCGGUUAAUACCGGCGUAGGAAAGCCCUGACUUCCCUGC